rnacentral:rRNA from 1 species
GCAUCGAUGAAGAACGCAGCGAAAUGCGAUAAGUAAUGUGAAUUGCAGAAUUCAGUGAAUCAUCGAAUCUUUGAACGCACCUUGCGCUCCUUGGUAUUCCGAGGAGCAUGCCUGUUUGAGUGUCAUUAAUAUAUCAACCUCUUCAGCUUUUGCUCGUUGAGUGUUGGAUGUGGGGGGUCUUUUUUUGCUGGUCUUCUCAGAUCAGCUCCCCUGAAAUACAUUAGCGGAACAAUUUGUGGAUCGUUCAUUGGUGUGAUAACUAUCUACGCUAUUGACGUGAAGCAGGUUCAGCUUCUAACAGUCCAUUGACUUGGACAAAAAUUUUUAUUAAUGUGACCUCAAAUCAGGUAGGACUACCCGCUGAACUUAAGCAUAUCAAUAA